UUCUUUUCUUUAUUCUUUCCUUCUUCCACUCUUCUUUUCUUUCUUCUUUCCUUCUUCCACUCUUCUUUUCUUUCUGCACUCUUCUUUCCUUCUUCCACUCUUCUUUCCUUUCUUCUUUCACUCUUCUUUCUUUUCUUCUUUCCUUUCUUCACUCUUCUUUUCUUUAUUCUUUCCUUCUUCCACUCUUCUUUCCUUCUUCCACUCUUCUUUCCUUUCUUCACUCUUCUUUCCUUUCUUCUUUCCUUCUUCCACUCUUCUUUCCUUCUUACUCUCUUCUUUCCUUCUUUCCUUUCUUCUUUCCUUUCUUCUUUCCUUUCUUCUUUCCUUCUUUCACUCUUCUUUCUUUUCUUCUUCCUUUCUUAACUUUAGCAUUUCAUGCACUGGUAUUUCCUUCAGGAAAUGCAUUUUCUAGUUACAGUGCAUGAAAUGCCCUGUAUUGUUAUUCCUUCGUUUCUUAUUACAGUGCAUGAAAUGCCCUGUAUUGUUAUUCCUUCGUUUCUUAUUCUUCUUCUUCUUAUUAUUCUCUUUACCGAUUUCUGCGCUUAAUUCAGCUUGAACCGCUUAACGUAGAAACUUCUUUCAAACUUUGCUGCAUAGGUCUUGCUAAGGACACUUAUGCUAUGUAUUUUUCAUUUUUCUAAACUUUAUACUUUUUAAAAUAUUAAAGAAAAACUAAUACAAUUUCUCCCAUUGACUUACAUUGGGCCAUUAUGACAUCAUAAUAGGGUCUUUAAACUGGCUUGCACCUGUGCUUCACUGACACCUGCGCCAAGGUUCCAAGGCUCCUCUUCUCUCUGUCCCUCUCCAUUCAACUGUAUAACUAGGAAUAUUAUUCUUUCCUUCUUCCACUCUUCUUCUUUCCUUCUUCCACUCUUCUUUCCUUCUUCCACUCUCCUUUCCUUUCUUCUUUCCUUCUUCCACUCUUCUUUCCUUCUUCUACUCCUCUUUUCUUUCUUCACUCUUCUUUCCUUCUUCCACUCUUCUAUCCUUCUUCCACUCUUCUUUCCUUCUUUUACUCUUCUUUCCUUUCUUCUUUCCUUCUUUCUUUUCUUCUUCCACUCUUCUUUCCUUUCUUCACUCUUCUUUCCUUUCUUCUUUCCUUCUUUCACUCUUCUUUCUUUUCUUCUUUCCUUUCUUCACUCUUCUUUUCUUUAUUCUUUCCUUCUUCCACUCUUCUUUUCUUUCUUCUUUCCUUCUUCCACUCUUCUUUUCUUUCUUCACUCUUCUUUCCUUCUUCCACUCUUCUUUCCUUUCUUCUUUCCUUCUUUCACUCUUCUUUCUUUUCUUCUUUCCUUUCUUCACUCUUCUUUUCUUUAUUCUUUCCUUCUUCCACUCUUCUUUCCUUCUUCCACUCUUCUUUCCUUUCUUCACUCUUCUUUCCUUUCUUCUUUCCUUCUUCCACUCUUCUUUCCUUCUUCCUCUCUUCUUUCCUUCUUUCCUUUCUUCUUUCCUUUCUUCUUUCCUUCUUUCACUCUUCUUUCUUUUCUUCUUCCUUUCUUAACUUUAGCAUUUCAUGCACUGGUAUUUCCUUCAGGAAAUGCAUUUUCUAGUUCUCUUUACCGACUUCUGCGCUUAAUUCAGCUUGAACCGCUUAACGUAGAAACUUCGUUCAAACUUUGCUGCAUAGGUCUUCUAAACGACACUUAUGCUAUGUAUUUUUCAUUUGUCUAAACGUUAUACUUUUUAAGAUAUUAAAUAAAAACGAAUACAAAUUUUCCCAUUGACUUACAUUGGGCCAUUAUGACAUCAUAAUAGGGUCAUUAAACUGGCUUGCACCUGUGCUUCACUGACACCUGCGCCAAGGUUCCAAGGCUCCUCUUCUC
ensembl:lncRNA